rnacentral:rRNA from 1 species
GAUGAACGCUGGCGGCGUGCCUAAUACAUGCAAGUCGAGCGAACAGACGAGGAGCUUGCUCCUCUGACGUUAGCGGCGGACGGGUGAGUAACACGUGGAUAACCUACCUAUAAGACUGGGAUAACUUCGGGAAACCGGAGCUAAUACCGGAUAAUAUAUUGAACCGCAUGGUUCAAUAGUGAAAGACGGUUUUGCUGUCACUUAUAGAUGGAUCCGCGCCGCAUUAGCUAGUUGGUAAGGUAACGGCUUACCAAGGCAACGAUGCGUAGCCGACCUGAGAGGGUGAUCGGCCACACUGGAACUGAGACACGAUCCAGACUCCUACGGGAGGCAGCAGUAGGGAAUCUUCCGCAAUGGGCGAAAGCCUGACGGAGCAACGCCGCGUGAGUGAUGAAGGUCUUCGGAUCGUAAAACUCUGUUAUUGGGGAAGAACAAAUGUGUAAGUAACUAUGCACGUCUUGACGGUACCUAAUCAGAAAGCCACGGCUAACUACGUG